GAUGAACGCUAGCGGCAGGCCUAACACAUGCAAGUCGAGGGGCAGCACAGAAACAGCAAUGUUUUGGUGGCGACCGGCGGACGGGUGCGUAACGCGUAUGCAACCUACCUUUAACAGGGGGAUAACGGAGAGAAAUUUCCACUAAUACCCCAUAACAUCGAUCAAGGCAUCUUGAUUGGUUGAAAACUCCGGUGGUUAAAGAUGGGCAUGCGUUGUAUUAGGUAGUUGGUGGGGUAAUGGCUCACCAAGCCUACGAUACAUAGGGGGACUGAGAGGUUAGCACCCCACACUGGUACUGGGACACGGACCAGACUCCUACGGGAGGCAGCAGUGAGGAAUAUUGGUCAAUGGGGGCAACCCUGAACCAGCCAUGCCGCGUGCAGGAAGACGGCUCUAUGAGUUGUAAACUGCUUUUAAACAGGGAUAAAGCACAGUAUGUAUACUGUGUUGAAGGUACUGUAAGAAUAAGGAUCGGCUAACUCCGUGCCAGCAGCCGCGGUAA
rnacentral:rRNA from 1 species